rnacentral:SRP_RNA from 1 species
GCAGAUUAGACUGCGCGCUAGCCCUGCGCUAUCCACAAAUGGGCUUUAUGGUGGGUCGAAGCUGAGAUGUGUGACAUGAAUGCUGUUGCAGUCUUGUUCAUGGCGUCGAAGUUUUGUCCUGUUUGAUCUUGCUUUAAUGAAUCAGGUCAGGCCUUGAUCGGAGCAGCCUUAAAUUAGAGUUAAGGUGCUUUCGGGGUUACAAAAUGGAGCUUUGUUCGAGGUAACUGGACAAUGUUUAUGAAGCAAGUUUCAGCAUAUCUGC